rnacentral:misc_RNA from 1 species
AGAAGAGGUUCAAAUGAUGCACAUAAGCUGGUUAAAACCCUUAAUGACAGUAGCUUGAAUUUCAAGUACUCUACACUUGAGAAGGCUACAGGAUCUUUCGAUGAUGGCAACAAGCUUGGACAAGGAGGAUUUGGAUCAGUUUAUAAGGGAGUUUUGCCAGAUGGAAGAGAGAUUGCCGUAAAGAGGCUUUUCUUUAACAACAGACAUAGAGCAGCAGAUUUCUACAAUGAAGUUAAUAUGAUAAGUAGUGUGGAACACAAAAAUCUGGUCAGGUUAUUGGGAUGCAGUUGUUCUGGACCUGAAAGCCUCCUUGUCUAUGAAUUCCUGCCUAACAAGAGUCUCGAUCGUUUCAUCUUUGAUCAAAACAAAGGCAAAGCCCUGACUUGGGAGAAGAGAUAUGACAUCAUUAUUGGAACAGCAGAAGGUUUAGUCUAUCUUCAUGAAAACUCCAAGAACAGGAUCAUUCACAGGGAUAUAAAGGCUAGCAACAUUUUAUUGGAUUCUAGGUUUCGCGCUAGAAUUGCCGAUUUUGGAUUGGCCAGGUCUUUCCAGGAAGAUGAGAGUCAUAUCAGCACAGCCAUUGCAGGAACACUUGGAUACAUGGCACCAGAGUACCUGGCUCAUGGGCAGUUAACAGAAAAGGCAGAUGUCUACAGCUUUGGUGUGCUUUUGUUGGAGAUUGU